UACGUAGGGGGCGAGCGUUGUCCGGAAUCAUUGGGCGUAAAGAGCUCGUAGGCGGUUUGGCAAGUCGGAUGUGAAAACUCCAGGCUCAACCUGGAGCCGCCAUUCGAUACUGCUAUGGCUAGAGUCCGGUAGGGGAGUGUGGAAUUCCCGGUGUAGCGGUGAAAUGCGCAGAUAUCAGGAAGAACACCCGUGGCUAAGGCGGCUCUCUAGUACGUGACUGACGCUGAGACGCGAAAGCGUGGGGAGCGAACAGG
rnacentral:rRNA from 1 species